GACGUAGGGGGCCAGCGUUGUUCGGAAUUACUGGGUGUAAAGGGUUCGUAGGCGGUGCGGCAAGUCGGGAGUGAAAUCUCUGGGCUUAACCCAGAGGCUGCUUCCGAAACUGCUGUGCUUGAGUGUGGGAGAGGCGCGUGGAAUUGCAGGUGUAGCGGUGAAAUGCGUAGAUAUCUGCAGGAACACCCGUGGCGAAAGCGGCGAGCUGGACCACUACUGACGCUGAAGAACGAAAGCUAGGGGAGCAAACAGG
rnacentral:rRNA from 1 species